GACGAACGCUGGCGGCGUGCUUAACACAUGCAAGUCGAACGGACAGGCCCUGCUCUUGCUGCGCUCUCGUGUGGCGAACGGGUGAGUAACACGUGUGUAUCCUCCCCUUAACUUUGGGAUAACUUCAGGAGACUCGGGCUAAUACCGGGUAGGAGCUCCUGCAGCAUGGUGGGGGUUGGAAAGUUACGGCUGUUGGGGAUGGACUCGCGGGUUAUCAGCUUGUUGGUGAAGUAGGGGCUUACCAAGGCUUUGACGGGUAGCCGGCCUGGGAGGGUGAACGGGGACAUUGGGCCUGAGGGACGCAGCAGUAGCGUACGGGACGCAGCAGUGGAAAAUAUUACGGAGCGACGCGGAGUCUGAGGUGGAAGCGCUGCGAGCGGGAAGAUGUCUUACGAGUGAAGAACCAAUGUGGAAGGUAACGAAGAGGGCGUGACGGUAAUGGGUAAGAAAGCCACGGCUAACUACGUG
rnacentral:rRNA from 1 species